AUCGAACGCUGGCGGCAUGCCUAAUACAUGCAAGUCGAGCGGAGCGGCGAACGGGUGAGUACUGCCUAGGAAUCUGCCUGGUAGUGGGGGAUAACGUCCGGAAACGGGCGCUAAUACCGCAUACUAUCAAAUCAGCCUCGGUCGGAUUUGCUAGUUGGUGGGGUAAAGGCCUACCAAGGCGACGAUCCGUAACUGGUCUGAGAGGAUGAUCAGUCACAUUGGGACUGAGACACGGCCAAGACUCCUACGGGAGGCAGCAGUGGGGAAUAUUGGACAAUGGGCGAAAGCCUGAUCCAGCCAGGCCGCGUGUGUGAAGAAGGUCUUCGGAUUGUAAAGCACUUUAAGUUGGGAGGCGGUACCAACAGAAUAAGCACCGGCUAACUACGUGCCAGCAGCCGCGGUAAUAC
rnacentral:rRNA from 1 species